rnacentral:sRNA from 1 species
GAAUACCUCACCAUCCCCGAUGAGAACGACUGGGAUGGUAUU